rnacentral:rRNA from 1 species
GAUGAACGCUGGCGGCGUGCCUAAUACAUGCAAGUCGAGCGAACAGACGAGGAGCUUGCUCCUCUGACGUUAGCGGCGGACGGGUGAGUAACACGUGUAUAACCUACCUAUAAGACUGGGAUAACUUCGGGAAACCGGAGCUAAUACCGGAUAAUAUAUUGAACCGCAUGGUUCAAUAGUGAAAGACGGUUUUGCUGUCACUUAUAGAUGGAUCCGCGCCGCAUUAGCUAGUUGGUAAGGUAACGGCUUACCAAGGCAACGAUGCGUAGCCGACCUGAGAGGGUGAUCGGCCACACUGGAACUGAGACACGGUCCAGACUCCUACGGGAGGCAGCAGUAGGGAAUCGUCCGCAAUGGGCGAAAGCCUGACGGAGCAACGCCGCGUGAGUGAUGAAGGUCUUCGGAUCGUAAAACUCUGUUAUUAGGGAAGAACAAAUGUGUAAGUAACUAUGCACGUCUUGACGGUACCUAAUCAGAAAGCCACGGCUAACUACGUG